UACGAAGGGAGCUAGCGUUGUUCGGAAUCACUGGGCGUAAAGCGCACGUAGGCGGAUGUGUCAGUCAGGGGUGAAAUCCCGGAGCUCAACUUCGGAACUGCCUUUGAUACAGCACGUCUUGAGUCCGAUAGAGGUGGGUGGAAUUCCUAGUGUAGAGGUGAAAUUCGUAGAUAUUAGGAAGAACGACCGGGUGGCGAAGGCGGCCCACUGGAUCGGUACUGACGCUGAGGUGCGAAAGCGUGGGGAGCAAACAGG
rnacentral:rRNA from 1 species